UACGUAGGGACCAAGCGUUGUCCGGAAUCAUUGGGCGUAAAGCGCGCGUAGGUGGCCAUUUAAGUCCGCUGUGAAAGUCAGAGGCUCAACCUUUGAAAGCCGGUGGAUACUGGAUGGCUAGAGUACGGAAGAGGUGAGUGGAAUUCCUGGUGUAGCGGUGGAAUGCGCAGAUAUCAGGAGGAACACCAAUAGCGAAGGCAGCUCGCUGGGACGUUACUGACACUAAGGCGCGAAAGCGUGGGGAGCGAACAGG
rnacentral:rRNA from 1 species